rnacentral:rRNA from 1 species
UACGAAGGGGGGCUAGCGUUGUUCGAUAAUCUGGGCGUAAAGCGCACGUAGGCGGAUUGUUAAGUCAGAGGUGAAAUCCCGGAGCUCAACUUCGGAACUGCCUUUGAUACUGGCAAUCUAGAGUCCGGAAGAGGUUAGUGGAAUUCCCAGUGUAGAGGUGAAAUUCGUAGAUAUUGGGAAGAACACCAGUGGCGAAGGCGGCUAACUGGUCCGGUACUGACGCUGAGGUGCGAAAGCGUGGGGAGCAAACAGG